rnacentral:rRNA from 1 species
CGAAACACCAGUUCCCGUACGAUCACCGAAGUUAAGCAACGUCGAGCCUGAUCAGUACCUAGAUAGGUGGUCGCUUGGGGAUAACAGGUGUUGUAAG